UACGGAGGGGGCGAGCGUUAUUCGGAAUUACUGGGCGUAAAGCGCGCGUAGGCGGAUCGCUAAGUCAGGGGUGAAAUCCCAGGGCUCAACCCUGGAACUGCCUUUGAUACUGACGAUCUGGAGAUCGGGAGAGGUUGGUGGAAUUCCGAGUGUAGAGGUGAAAUUCGUAGAUAUUCGGAGGAACACCAGAAGCGAAGGCGGCCAACUGGCCCGAUACUGACGCUGAGGCGCGAAAGCGUGGGGAGCAAACAGG
rnacentral:rRNA from 1 species